AUUGAACGCUGGCGGCAGGCCUAACACAUGCAAGUCGAACGGUAACAGGAAGAAGCUUGCUUCUUUGCUGACGAGUGGCGGACGGGUGAGUAAUGUCUGGGAAACUGCCUGAUGGAGGGGGAUAACUACUGGAAACGGUAGCUAAUACCGCAUAACGUCGCAAGACCAAAGAGGGGGACCUUCGGGCCUCUUGCCAUCGGAUGUGCCCAGAUGGGAUUAGCUAGUAGGUGGGGUAACGGCUCACCUAGGCGACGAUCCCUAGCUGGUCUGAGAGGAUGACCAGCCACACUGGAACUGAGACACGGUCCAGACUCCUACGGAGGCAGCAGUGGGGAAUAUUGCACAAUGGGCGCAAGCCUGAUGCAGCCAUGCCGCGUGUAUGAAGAAGGCCUUCGGGUUGUAAAGUACUUUCAGCGGGGAGGAAGGGAGUAAAGUUAAUACCUUUGCUCAUUGACGUUACCCGCAGAAGAAGCACCGGCUAACACCGUG
rnacentral:rRNA from 1 species